AGAGUUUGAUCCUGGCUCAGAAUCAACGCUGGCGGCGUGCCUAACACAUGCAAGUCGAACGAGAAAGUGGGGGCAACCCCGCGAGUACAGUGGCAGACGGGUGAGUAACACGUGAACAACCUACCCUCGAGUGGGGAAUAACACCGCGAAAGCGGUGCUAAUACCGCAUAACAUCCUUGGGGCGCAUGUCCUGGGGAUCAAAAGCGAAAGUUGCUCGAGGAGGGGUUCGCGCCUGAUUAGCUAGUUGGUGAGGUAACGGCCCACCAAGGCGACGAUCAGUAGCCGGCCUGAGAGGGCGAACGGCCACACUGGAACUGAGACACGGUCCAGACUCCUACGGGAGGCAGCAGUGGGGAAUUUUGCGCAAUGGACGAAAGUCUGACGCAGCAACGCCGCGUGGAGGAUGAAGGCCUUCGGGUCGUAAACUCCUGUCAGGGGGGACGAAAACCUUAACGGGUCUGACUGUACCCCCUGAGGAAGCCACGGCUAACUCCGUGCCAGCAGCCGCGGUAAUACGGAGGUGGCAAGCGUUGUUCGGAAUUACUGGGCGUAAAGGGCGCGUAGGCGGCAUGGCAAGUCAGAUGUGAAAGCCCCGGGCUUAACUCGGGAAUUGCAUCUGAGACUGCUUUGCUUGAGUCCUGGAGGGGGUAGUGGAAUUCCCAGUGUAGCGGUGAAAUGCGUAGAUAUUGGGAGGAACACCUGUGGCGAAGGCGGCUACCUGGACAGUGACUGACGCUGAUGCGCGAAAGCUAGGGGAGCAAACGGGAUUAGAUACCCCGGUAGUCCUAGCCGUAAACGAUGGGCACUUGGUGUCGGGGGUAUUGAGUCCCCCGGUGCCGGAGUUAACACGUUAAGUGCCCCGCCUGGGGAGUACGGUCGCAAGACUGAAACUCAAAGGAAUUGACGG
rnacentral:rRNA from 1 species